rnacentral:rRNA from 1 species
AUUGAACGCUGGCGGCAGGCUUAACACAUGCAAGUCGAACGAUGAAGAUAUAGCUUGCUAUAUCGGAUUAGUGGCGGACGGGUGAGUAACACUUAGGAAUCUACCUUUUAGCGGGGGAUAGCUCGGGGAAACUCGAAUUAAUACCGCGUAAUUUCUACGGAAUAAAGAGGGCUUUUAGCUCUCACUAGAAGAUGAGCCUAAGUAAGAUUAGCUAGUUGGUGGGGUAAAAGCCUACCAAGGCGACGAUCUUUAGCUGGUCUGAGAGGAUGAUCAGCCACACUGGGACUGAGACACGGCCCAGACUCCUACGGGAGGCAGCAGUGGGGAAUAUUGGACAAUGGGGGCAACCCUGAUCCAGCCAUGCCGCGUGUGUGAAGAAGGCCUUUUGGUUGUAAAGCACUUUAAGCAGUGAAGAAGACCUAUUGGUUAACACCCAAUAGCGAUGACAUUAACUGCAGAAUAAGCACCGGCUAACUCUGUGCCAGCAGCCGCGGUAAUACAGAGGGUGCAAGCGUUAAUCGGAAUUACUGGGCGUAAAGCGAGCGUAGGUGGUUAAAUAAGUCAGAUGUGAAAGCCCUGGGCUCAACCUAGGAACGGCAUCUGAAACUAUUUAACUAGAGUAGGUGAGAGGGAAGUAGAAUUUCAGGUGUAGCGGUGAAAUGCGUAGAGAUCUGAAGGAAUACCGAUGGCGAAGGCAGCUUCCUGGCAUCAUACUGACACUGAGGCUCGAAAGCGUGGGUAGCAAACAGG